AGAGAGAGAGAGAGAGAGCGAAAUUGUCAAUAGAAAUACAGCGUUGAAGAUGUCAAACUGUCGAACGAAUACGAAGCACUCUUUCCAUAUAAUUGCGGAUGAGUAGCAAAAAAUAAAGCUGGAUAAACACGUUGCAGCUUUAUAAAAAGGAUAUUCACAGCGUUGGUGUGGAACGAGCUGGAGUAGACAAUAAAUACGCAUCUGCCAAUCAAAAGCAGAAAAACUGCAAGCGACACAACCAACACACACAACACCCACACACACCCAACACCCACACACACCCAACACCUACACAUGACCUGAAAAGUGAUGCGCGUGGGAAACACAAGAAAAAGUGGCACUUUAGGCCUGGCUUAUGAGAUGUGGGGUUGAAAGCAUGUGCCCAGCUCGGGGGAGCCAUUCUGGGACAGUGGAGUUAAGCGUUUUCAUGCAUUUUUAAUCAGAGGUGGAGCGCAUGGCGCUUGAUCCACAUCAAAGGUGCCAUGGCAACCGCCAACUAAACGCAGCAGCAGCAACCAAUUAAAAGUUUAAUGAGUAAAAGUUUAACGAAUAAUGCUGCAAGCAAAUAUUAUUUAAAUUAAUACUCUAAGCGGAUUAUUAAGCUGGGUUUGACUUUAAACCAUUUCCGAUUCUUAUAUGUAAAGUAUAACAAUUCCUUUGCAGAUUCCAGCUAUUUUUUCAAACUAUUUUUAUGGUAUACACUUACCUAAUUGUACCUCAAUUUUUAAGAAUUUAAUAAUACUAAAGUUUGAAAAAAGAAGGAGGCAUCUCCAAAUCCCAUAAGGUAUAUAUAUUCAUGAUCAGCAUCACUAUCUGCUAAUGGUGGUCAAUCUCUCAUCAAUCAACUGGCUCAUUGCUGGUUCAUCCAUCAUGCAGAGCUGACUAGUUUUGGCAUUUUUAAUUGGAAUUAAUGAUGUUGGUUUGCUCAGCGCUUAAGGAUUGUGUGUUCAACGCACAAUUAAAGUGAUGCGAAAGUGUGGUGAAAGUUGGCUUCGACUGCAAGUCCGUUGGACGUCACUUUCGCUGAUUGCUGGCUGCCACAAGUGGCACGCAGCUGCGUCACGGCCGUAGGACGUGGACGUGACAGUCGUUUGACACGGCGUGGGCAGUGCCUAGCUAGUGCCUAGCUCACCCUAGUCCCAUCGUCCUGUUCUCCACUGACGUAAUUGCCAGCUCUGUUUACAGCUCACAUUUUCCAUUUUUUUGCUUCUCUCUUUUUUUUAUAAGGCCAAUCGUAAUGGCAAUCAUUGUCAGCAGCAUCCUUCGUAGGCGGAACGCACCAAUUUGUGUUGCAUACUUUUGUGGGACAGUGUGCGCCUACGUCACUGUGUGUGCUGUAAGUAAUUGCCUGUUUAAAUGUGCCCGUCAUUAAAAUAAAAUUCAUUUUGAUUGCACUUAUAAAUCGCAGCCUACAGUUCAAGUUCCACUGCUGAACUCAGUUCAACUUGUAAUUAUUGAUUUUUUUUACGGUUUUUGGUUGCAAGCUACAAAAAGGCUGAGCAAAACUCAGCCAUUCCACCCAGCAUCAGCUGUUGUUUUAUCUUUUUUGUUGUCGGAGUCGGGAAAAUGCCAUUACAUAAGCCGGCAAUAAGAAUUCUACGUUUACGAGUUUUACUUGUAUUAUGUACGGCUCAACUUUGAACUAAGCUCCACUCAAGGCAUGCUGUGUGUGUGUGUGUGUGUGUGUGUGUGUGUGUGUGUGUGUGUGUUGCCAACAUUUGACUUUUUGCUAAGUUCGUGUCGCUUGUCAUCUGGUUGGAAAGGCAAAAGUUUUAUUCAUUUAAACUUAGCCAGCAUAUGUUUAUUCACUUUUUGCAUUUACUGCUGACUAUUUGGAAUUAACAUUUGCAAAUUUGUACACUUUAAACAAAUUUCAAUUAACUUUUUUAUAACAUUUUAUAAACCAUAAACAAGAAGUA